ACUAUUUUGUCAGAUAAUAUGUACUAGACUUAGGAUCUAGCUAAAUAGAAUUAAUUUCUAUAAAUAGUAUGAUAAUUAUAUCUAAUUGUUUU
rnacentral:tRNA from 1 species